UCACAAUCUAUUUGAUUAUGUGUGGGUUGACGUGAAUGUCCUUUAGCUUUUGGGCCAGAAGGUGGGGUUGUAUGGUAUGGAAAGCACUGGAGAAGUCAAAGAACAUUGUUGUCACCACAUAGCCAGGCUUCUCCAGGUGCUCUGUGGAGGAGAUCGAGCAGAACAUCUUCAACACCAGUUUUAGGGUGGUAUGCAAAUAGCAAAGGAUCCAGGAGACUACCACUGGUGGCUUCUGUGGAGUUGGUGGGGGGCUGGUUGACAGGGAUAUCUGUUUGAAGAAAAAUGCAAGCUCCUGGAGGCAGUCCUCCUCCAGACCUGGCCGAGGGUUGGUGGGCACCAUGAUUUCUACUCCCCAGCAGCCACCACGUGACUGCUACCCUAUGAGGACGGACCUAAAGCCCAGAGCAUGCACUUUCCGGAGCUGCAGAAGACAAAAUGGUUUACAGAAUUAUAAUUUCAAUCAGGUGGCUGCUAAUCAUAAAUAAAAUAGGAAUUAGUUCAAUUCAAAUGGAAUAAAGCUAAGAAUGUGUCCAGAAAUAUGGAGGGUUACCAUUAUGAAAAGUGAGUCCAGGAACCUGGCAA